CCUACGGGAGGCAGCAGUAGGGAAUUUUCGUCAAUGGGCGCAAGCCUGAACGAGCAAUGCCGCGUGAACGAGGAAGGUCUUCGGAUCGUAAAGUUCUGUUGAAGGGGAAAAAGAGCGUAUAGAGGAAAUGAACUCCGAUUGAUAUUACCCUUCGAGGAAGUCACGGCUAACUACGUGCCAGCAGCCGCGGUAAUACGUAGGUGGCGAGCGUUAUCCGGAAUGAUUGGGCGUAAAGGGUGCGUAGGCGGCUUGCUAAGUCUGUAGUGAAAGGUACCGGCUCAACCGGUACAGGCAUUGGAAACUGGCGGGCUAGAGAGGAGGAGAGGGCGGUGGAACUCCAGGUGUAGCGGUAAAAUGCGUAGAGAUAUGGAAGAACACCAGUGGCGAAGGCGGCCGCCUGGCCUAUUACUGACGCUGAGGCACGAAAGCGUGGGGAGCAAAUAGGAUUAGAUACCCGUGUAGUC
rnacentral:rRNA from 1 species